rnacentral:rRNA from 1 species
UACGUAGGGUGCAAGCGUUGUCCGGAAUUAUUGGGCGUAAAGAGCUCGUAGGCGGUUCGUCGCGUCGGCUGUGAAAACCUGAGGCUCAACCUCAGGCCUGCAGUCGAUACGGGCGGACUUGAGUACUGCAGGGGAGACUGGAAUUCCUGGUGUAGCGGUGAAAUGCGCAGAUAUCAGGAGGAACACCGGUGGCGAAGGCAGGUCUCUGGGCCGAUACUGACGCUGAGGAGCGAAAGCGUGGGGAGCGAACAGG